GGGCUCGAAUCCCAGCAGCCACAUUUAUUUUUCCUUUUUUUUUUUUUGCCCAAAAUCAGAUCUGAUUUGAUUAUGUUUACCUCUGUGUUUAACUCAAGUUUAAUCACAUUAGUUAGUGCCCCAUCUGUAUUUAUGUAUAACUCCUUUUUCUCUCUCUCUCCGUCCGAACACAAGGUGGAUCUCAUUCGACGUCUUAUUCAAACAAAGUUUCCGGGAACCAGAGAAGGGAUGCCUUGGAGCAACGGUAAAGUUGUCUCCGUGUGACCUAUAGGUCUCGUCGUAGAAACAGCCACUAAUGCUUGCAUUAGGUUACGUUGCCUACAUCACACCCUUGGGGUGUGGCCAUUUCCCGGACCCUGCGUGAACGCGUGCUGCUGUGUCCUUUCCGGAAGCCAGUCAUUGCAAAGUUGUUGUAAAUCUAACUUGUGUAACUCAAUGUAAUAGUUUUCAUUUUGUCCUAAGUAUUGGCGCUUCAAUUUCCUCUUGCAGAUAAUGGAUGAUCAAGAUUUGGGAUUCUUUGCUAACUUUGUUGGCAUCUUUAUUUUUGUAUUUGUUAUUGCUUAUCAUUAUGUAGUGGCUGAUCCUAAGUACUCAAGCAACUAACUGAUGCCAAGCAUACAGUUAUUUUCCUGGUCUCGUCGAGUCAGAGCUUUUACUUGCCUCUCCCAAUUUGUGAAUCUCACAGCACUUAGUCUAAUGCAAAUAUGAAGAAUUUGUGGUGAUAGUUGAGUCUGUACCUAGAGCGUUAAAGCUUGAAGAUGCAAAGUUAUGUUUAGCAGUAAGUUUUUACUU